rnacentral:tRNA from 1 species
GAGAGGUGUCCGAGUGGUCGAAGGUGCUUGACUCGAAAUCAAGUGUGGUGAAUAGCCACCGUGGGUUCGAAUCCCACCCUCUC